CGGGUGAGUAACGCGUAGGAAUCUGCCUUAUAGUGGGGGACAACGUGGGGAAACCCACGCUAAUACCGCAUACGCCCUACGGGGGAAAGCGGGGGCCUUCGGGCCUCGUGCUAUUGGAUGAGCCUGCGUCGGAUUAGCUAGUUGGUAGGGUAAAGGCCUACCAAGGCGACGAUCCGUAGCUGGUCUGAGAGGAUGAUCAGCCACACUGGGACUGAGACACGGCCCAGACUCC
rnacentral:rRNA from 1 species